rnacentral:rRNA from 1 species
UACGUAGGGGGCUAGCGUUGUCCGGAAUCAUUGGGCGUAAAGCGCGUGUAGGCGGUCCGGUAAGUCCGCUGUGAAAGUCGGGGGCUCAACCCUCGAAUGCCGGUGGAUACUGUCGGGCUAGAGUGCGGAAGAGGCGAGUGGAAUUCCUGGUGUAGCGGUGAAAUGCGCAGAUAUCAGGAGGAACACCGGUGGCGAAGGCGGCGACCUGGGUAGAUACUGACGCUGAGGUGCGAAAGCGUGGGGAGCAAACAGG